rnacentral:misc_RNA from 1 species
GAUGAAGAACGCAGUGAAAUGCGAUACGUAAUGUGAAUUGCAAAUUCAGUGAAUCAUCGAGUCUUUGAACGCACAUUGCGCCCCCUGGUAUUCCGGGGGGCAUGCCUGUCCGAGCGUCAUUGCUGCCCUCAAGCACGGCUUGUGUGUUGGGCCCCGUCCUCCGAUCCCGGGGGACGGGCCCGAAAGGCAGCGGCGGCACCGCGUCCGGUCCUCGAGCGUAUGGGGCUUUGUCACCCGCUCUGUAGGCCCGGCCGGCGCUUGCCGAUCAACCCAAAUUUUUAUCCAGGUUGACCUCGGAUCAGGUAGGGAUACCCGCUGACCUUAAGCAUAUCAAUAAGCGGAGGA